rnacentral:lncRNA from 1 species
AGCACCUCGCUUAGCCGGAAGUUACUGUUCUACCCUGUGUCUUACAACCGUAAAAAAAGGGGGCACCCCAAUGGACUGGCUUACCCCGGAACUCUGAGAGUGCGAACUAGAGUGCCACGUCAUGUCAGUUAUAUGGAUAAGAAAGGAGCCACAUUUUUACGACACACGCAUCUGUGUCUUGUGAAAAACAUGGAGGAAAGUGUAUUUGAGACCUGUCUUUGCUGUUUAUUAAUUGUGAGUCUGAGUUUACUUUGCCCUGCAGUGAGAAUUGUGGUUGAUUUGGAACAGAGAAGAGAUUAUUGGGCAAAUGAUUGGCCUUGGACCCCUUGCUGGAGAGCAUAUCAAGGAGACUGUGGAGAUCAAGGAUGGUCUGGGAGAAUAUGUCCUGUUUAAAGUAACUAUCAAAUACCAAUAAUCAUAGUACACAGAAGUAGGCAGAAAGAUUUGAAUUCUGAUUUGGAAAGGGCUAUUCUUUUUUAAAAUUGAAGUAUACUUGAUUUAAAAUAUUGUAUUAGUUUCAGGUGUACAGCAAAGUAGUUCAGUUAUAUAUAUGUGUGUGUGUGUAUAUAUAUAUAAUGUAUACAUGUGUAUUAGAUUAUAUUUCAUCAUAGGUUAUUACAGUAUAUUAGGUUAUUGAAUAUAAUUCCCUCAGCUAUACAAUAAAUCCUAGUUACUUGUCUAUUUCUGUAUAGUA